UACAGAGGGUGCAAGCGUUGUUCGGAAUCAUUGGGCGUAAAGGGCUUGUAGGCGGUCUGUUAAGUCAUGUGUGAAAGCCCUCGGCUCAACCGAGGAACUGCGCUCCAAACUACCGUGCUAGAGGAAGAUAGAGGUGAGCAGAACUGAUGGUGGAGCGGUGAAAUGCGUUGAUAUCAUCAGGAAUACCGGAGGCGAAGGCGGCUCACUGGGUCUUUUCUGACGCUGAGGAACGAAAGCUAGGGGAGCAAACGGG
rnacentral:rRNA from 1 species